GUCAGUCAAUUUUGGAAGCCUGAAGUGGGUUCAUUUUAAGUUUCCAUAUGUUAAGAUAUGUUCAGUGUUGCUGCUGUGGAAGUGUUGUGGUUGACUUUUUAUUGAUGCAGGUCUAAUCAUUCUUUAAGAGGUUCUCUAGACCAUGCAACUUUUUAAGUUCCUACC